rnacentral:rRNA from 1 species
UGAGGAAUAUUGGUCAAUGGGCGAGAGCCUGAACCAGCCAAGUAGCGUGCAGGACGACGGCCCUAUGGGUUGUAAACUGCUUUUAUGUGGGGAUAAAGUGCGUGACGUGUCAUGCAUUGCAGGUACCACAUGAAUAAGGACCGGCUAAUUCCGUGCCAGCAGCCGCGGUAAUACGGAAGGUCCGGGCGUUAUCCGGAUUUAUUGGGUUUAAAGGGAGCGUAGGCUGUCUAUUAAGCGUGUUGUGAAAUUUACCGGCUCAACCGGUGGCUUGCAGCGCGAACUGGUCGACUUGAGUAUGCAGGAAGUAGGCGGAAUUCAUGGUGUAGCGGUGAAAUGCUUAGAUAUCAUGAAGAACUCCGAUUGCGAAGGCAGCUUACGGGAGCGCAACUGACGCUGAAGCUCGAAGGUGCGGGUAUCGAACAGG